rnacentral:rRNA from 1 species
GAGCUGAACGGUCCAGUCUCUGGAGGGCAUGGAAUUAGCAAAUUGGCGGAGUCCUAUGACAAUUUCCGUAUGUGUAGAAGCUCUGUGUGUAAGACCCUUCAAUGCGGAGGAAAAGGUCUGCAGGUCAUAGCUCCAUCCUGGACGUACUUGCAGAAGAAUGCACGCGUAAAUUCUGUGCAGCAGCAGCCGGUAAUACUGCAGGAGUGCAGACGCGGUGUAAUAGGAAUAUUUGUGCGUAUAGAGUCGCGCAGGACGGCUUCUUAAUCGAGAGAUGAGAGCUCCGCGGCUCAUCAUGGGGGCUGCAUUUCGAACUGUCGUCGUAGAGUGUGAUAGAGAGUGGUAGAAUUUCACGUGUAGCGGUGAAAUAUGUAGAGAUCUGAAGAAAUACAGAGGGGGAGGACACCCUUCUGGGUCAUCACUGACGCUCAUGUGUGAGAGAGUGGGGAGCACACGCGAUUAUAUAUCCCGGUAGUGCACGCUGUAUACGAUGUGUAUUAUAAUCUCGGAAUCUCGGGUCUGUUUUUCGAAGCUAACGCAUUAAGUAGUCCGCCUGGGGAGUACGGCCGCAAGGUUAAAACUCAAAUGAAUUGACGGGGGCCCGCACAAGCGGUGGAGCAUGUGGUUUAAUUCGAUGCAACGCGAAGAACCUUACCUACUCUUGACAUCCAGAGAACUUUCUAGAAAUAGAUUGUUACCUUCGGGGGGUAUGAUACAGGUGCUGCAUGACGGUCGUCAGCUCGUGUUGUGAGAUGUUGGGUUAAGUAUCGCAACGAGCGCACCCCCUAUCCUUAGUUGUUAGCAGGUAAUGCUGAGAACUCUAAGGAGACUGCCGGUGAUAAACCGGAGGAAGGUGGGGACGACGUCAAAUCAUCAUGGCCCUUACGUGUAGGGCUACACACGUGUUACAAUGUCGCAUACAGAGAGGUCAGAUCCUCAGAAGGUAAAUGAAUCUCUUAAAGUGCGUAUUAGUCCGGAUUGGAGUCUGCAACUCUCCUCCACGAAGUCGGAAUCGCUAGUAAUCUCGUAUCAGAAUAACGCGGUGAAUACGUUUCCGGGCCUUGUACACACCGCCCGUCUCACCACGGGAGUGGGUGCUCCAGAAGUAGAUAGUGUAACCCUCAGGAGGCCGUCACCACGAUGGUCCAGCUU